rnacentral:rRNA from 1 species
CCUACGGGAGGCAGCAGUGAGGAAUAUUGGUCAAUGGCCGAGAGGCUGAACCAGCCAAGUCGCGUGAGGGAAGACGGCCCUACGGGUUGUAAACCUCUUUUGUCGGGGAGCAAAGCGAACCACGUGUGGCUUUUUGAGAGUACCCGAAGAAAAAGCAUCGGCUAACUCCGUGCCAGCAGCCGCGGUAAUACGGAGGAUGCGAGCGUUAUCCGGAUUUAUUGGGUUUAAAGGGUGCGCAGGCGGAGGUGCAAGUCAGCGGUGAAAUUGCGGGGCUCAACCCCGUACUGCCGUUGAAACUGCAUGCCUUGAGUGCGCGAGAAGUAUGCGGAAUGCGUGGUGUAGCGGUGAAAUGCAUAGAUAUCACGAAGAACUCCGAUUGCGAAGGCAGCUUACUAAACUGCCACUGACAUUGAUGCACGAAAGUGUGGGUAUCGAACAGGAUUAGAUACCCGAGUAGUC